CGCGCCCACUCGGCGCCAGGCUCGGCCGCCGCAGAGGCGGGCUCCUAGCCCAGAGCCCCCUCCCCGCGCCGGCCUUGCGGGGCGGGGUCCGCCGCGCCUGCGGACAGCGAGCUCGGGUGCUGCAGUCUGCGGCGCAUGGCCGCCAGGGCUUGGGCGGGGGACGGGCGCUGGCUCGGAAACCAAACAACAUGGGCACGGGAAAGGAGGCUUGCCUUAAUUUGGAUGAACCCUAAGACUUAAGAAGUCUGUACAGUUUUAAAGAUGAAGCACCAUGAGAGGCAGAAAUUUCUGGUCUGGAUAGCUCAGCUGAUUAUUCUCAUGUUGCCACAAUUUGUCAGUUCUUCAUGGUUUGGCUCCUGGCUACCUGUCCGGCUUCAUCUUAUAUUAUUUUUCCCCUCACUUAUCCACUUCAGCUACACUGGCCUUCUUACUAUACCUCAAACACACUGCAGAAUAUGAUGUUCUACUUAAUAAUAAACCCAAGGAGAGGGGGGAAGUCCCUGCAUCUUAUCACAGAUGUAAAAAGACAUCCCAGUGGAACAAGCACAUUGGAUCACCAAUGAAUAUAGAGAAUAUGUUGUGUGCAGCACACUGGUGUUCCUUCAGAGAAGUUAAGACCACACAAAAGCUCCACAUCCAGUGCAGAGCCCAACAUGAGGCUCGAACUCACAACUGUAAGCUCAAGACCUGUGCUGAGAUCAAGUUGGACACUCAACUGACUGAGCCACCCAGGUGCCCCUAGACAGAGACAGCCAGCGAGAAAGGGAACACAAGCAGGGGGAGUGGGAGAGGAAGAAGCA